CGGGGGAGGCCGGAUCCUGGGCUGUGUCCCGGCGCCCUGUGCUCCGGAGCCUGCGUGUUGGAUUCGCGCUCCCGGGCCGCGCAGCCCCCU
rnacentral:pre_miRNA from 1 species